AGGGUCGGUCUUUGGUAUUUCCACUGAUAAAAUGUGGGAA
rnacentral:sRNA from 1 species